rnacentral:lncRNA from 1 species
UCGUUCGCGUUUGCUCAAUUUCUCUAGCGCGAAUGGUACAAUACAGUUUGCUUUUAGCAACAUUUUUACUUGGAGGAACUACAUUGAGUUGAACGUCUACCUAUAUCGGCAGUUUUUCAAAAUUUAAGCAUUACUACUCUCUAAAGUCAAUAUUAUUUUGAUGAAAAGAGCCUUAAACAUCGGCAUCGUGCGGCAAUUUCUGCGACUUCUAGUGAGACCCUUGCGAUAUCCCUUGAUCGUAGCCAUCUUAUAACUCUCUAUGGAUAACAACUUCCAGAAGAUGCAGAAUAUGAAAGAGUAAGCUGCCUGUGCAAAUCUUCAAGACGACAUUAUUCCUCGGCGAUGCACUUCUCAAACUGAGUGAUGAUUAACGCCUUGUGUAUGUAUAGGCAAGACUCCACCUCCGAUCCACCCAUUCCUUGGACUGAAGAUCCGCCCGGUAUACAGACUUGAGGUUAAAACCGAAGAAUAAUGUACCGGCAUCCGAAAUUCGCAUGCUGCUAAUUCGUUUAAGAUAGAUAUUAUACUUUAUAAGUGUUCUACACCUGGAUGUUAUUUUUAAGUAUAAUACUUUUAAACACAAUUUAAGCGUAAUUAUAACGUUUUAUGAAUUUGAAGAAUUAUAAAUGAGGCGGAUUAAUCACGUAUUCACUUCUUUUUUACGAUGUUUCUACAACUUGUUUGGAAAAUGUCUUUUCGUUGCCAAUUAAACGUUUUUAUAACGUUUUAUUUUAUUAGGGUAGUGUAUUCAAGAAUAUCCAAUCAGUUCGACGAGGUGUAAGCUAUAACUAGUUAGAGCAUAAGCAGCCGAAGCAUCAGGUCAAAUAAGGCAGUUUUAGCAUGGGUGGUAAACCACUAUAUCUAGACUCGGCGCGCAUAUUGUUUAUGAGGGGAAUGGAAAAGCGCCCAUGCGCCACCUAUUGUCACCCGCUAAGACCCAGAGAUUUUGGGCGAUGUCGAAAGGGCCAGUUCAAAACUGCUUUGUUUUGGUGAUUGAUAUCGCUCUAACGGUUUGCAUCGAAUCAUUACUAUAACUUUUUUAGAGUAGGAUUUACUUAUAUCAUUUUGUUUACGAUUCUUUGAACAUAGAUAUUCCAACUGAAAGGUUUGCGUUGUAGGAAAGAUAAAUGAAUACAAGUAAAUGCAAUAUUUUGGGUAUUUUUAACAAAUUUAUUAAAAUUGUAUGCAUUACAAAUUAGAAAUUUGCCAGCUUAUUAGUUAUGACGGUUUAGUGUUUCAAUUUUAGUUACAAUCAAUCAGAAUAUGUUUUUAAGUAGACUAGAAAAUGUUGAUGUUACACUGUUCUAUGGAUAUAUAAAUUGGAAGCAUUUUUGUAAAUUAAGAUUGUUUCAGCUGUUAAGCAGCUAUACCCAUACGUAUGAUAUUUCAAUUUACGUUUACUUAUAUACUUUAUAAUAAAAGUUCAAAAGUUUACUUAAGUUGACUUAAAAAAUAAUUGAACACUUCUAUUGUCCAAUUACAAAGCUUACAUUCUAGGAAUUAACUUUUUUAAAUGUAUGCAUAUGGACUACAUAAAAAUUAUAGUCUAUCAUUACUAAAAUUCUUAUUUAUAAUUCUUAUUAUACUUGACUUCUCAUUGCUUCCAUUGUCUUCACAUGGACGUGCGUUCUACGAACAGGCUUAUUACUUUAUUUUUCUUGUUUUAUAAAAGAAUUUAAAUAUAUUUUUACGACUUUGAUUAUGU